rnacentral:piRNA from 1 species
GUGUUUUGAGGCUAGGCAUUGAC